AAAAACAUGGCUCUUUGAUUACAUAUAUAUAAAGAGUCCGACCUGCCCAGUGAAUUUUUUUUUAACGGCCGCGGUACUCUGACCGUGCAAAGGUAGCAUAAUCAUUUGCCUUAUAAUUAAAGGCUAGUAUGAAUGGUUUAACGAGAACAACGCUGUCUCCUUUUUAUUUCCAAGAAUUUAACUUUUAGAUGAAGAGGCCUAAAUUUUAUUGAAGGACAAGAAGACCCUGUCGAGCUUAAAAGACAUUGUAGAAUUUUAUAUAUUUCUAGAUAAGCUUACUAUUAAGCUUUUUAGUUGGGGCGACUAAGGAACAAAAAAAGCUUCUUGUUAAUAAUAAACAAUCAUGUUUAGAUCCGGAAUAGCCGAUCAAAGGAAUUAGUUACCGCAGGGAUAACAGCAUAAUCUCUCCUGAGAGACCUAAUCGAAAGAGGGGGUUGUGACCUCGAUGUUGGACUAGAAUAUCCUAAAGAUGUAGAAGUCUUUUAAGGGUUGGUCUGUUCGACCAUUAAAAUUCUACGUGAUCUGA
rnacentral:rRNA from 1 species